rnacentral:piRNA from 1 species
UCGAAGGUGUGAUGCUUGAGAAUGUGGUU